GCCUGGGUGGCUCAGUUGGUUAAGCAACUGACUUCGGCUCAGGUCAUGAUCUCGAAGUUUGUGAGUUCGAGCCUCGCAUCGGGUU
rfam:Felis catus isolate Cinnamon breed Abyssinian chromosome X, whole genome shotgun sequence.